UGGGGAAUUUUGGACAAUGGGGGCAACCCUGAUCCAGCAAUGCCGCGUGUGUGAAGAAGGCCUUCGGGUUGUAAAGCACUUUUGUCCGGAAAGAAAACGUCGUGGUUAAUACCCGUGGCGGCUGACGGUACCGGAAGAAUAAGCACCGGCUAACUACGUGCCAGCAGCCGCGGUAAUACGUAGGGUGCAAGCGUUAAUCGGAAUUACUGGGCGUAAAGCGUGCGCAGGCGGUCCGCUAAGACAGAUGUGAAAUCCCCGGGCUUAAGCCUGGGAACUGCAUUUGUGACUGGCGGGCUAGAGUAUGGCAGAGGGGGGUAGAAUUCCACGUGUAGCAGUGAAAUGCGUAGAGAUGUGGAGGAAUACCGAUGGCGAAGGCAGCCCCCUGGGCCAAUACUGACCGCUCAUGCACGAAAGCGUGGGGAGCAAACAGG
rnacentral:rRNA from 1 species